rnacentral:rRNA from 1 species
AGUGAACGCUGGCGGUAGGCCUAACACAUGCAAGUCGAACGGCAGCACAGUAAGAGCUUGCUCUUACGGGUGGCGAGUGGCGGACGGGUGAGGAAUACAUCGGAAUCUACUUUUUCGUGGGGGAUAACGUAGGGAAACUUACGCUAAUACCGCAUACGACCUACGGGUGAAAGCAUGGGAUCUUCGGACCUUGCGCGAUUGAAUGAGCCGAUGUCGGAUUAGCUAGUUGGCGGGGUAAAGGCCCACCAAGGCGACGAUCCGUAACUGGUCUGAGAGGAUGAUCAGCCACACUGGAACUGAGACACGGUCCAGACUCCUACGGGAGGCAGCAGUGGGGAAUAUUGGACAAUGGGCGCAAGCCUGAUCCAGCCAUACCGCGUGGGUGAAGAAGGCCUUCGGGUUGUAAAGCCCUUUUGUUGGGAAAGAAAAGCAGCAGGUUAAUACCCCGCUGUUCUGACGGUACCCAAAGAAUAAGCACCGGCUAACUUCGUG